GUGUCAUUUUGUAGAUAGAAAACUUCGGCAGCACAUAUACUAAAAUUGGAACGAUACAGAGAAGAUUAGCAUGGCCCCUGCACAAGGAUGACACGCAAAUUCGUGAAGCGUUCCAUAUUUAA
ensembl:snRNA U6 U6 spliceosomal RNA